UACGUAGGGGGCUAGCGUUGUCCGGAUUUAUUGGGCGUAAAGAGCGUGUAGGCGGCCAGAUAGGUCUGCUGUGAAAACUCGAGGCUCAACCUCGAGAUGUCGGCGGAAACCAUUUGGCUAGAGUCCGGAAGAGGAGAGUGGAAUUCCUGGUGUAGCGGUGAAAUGCGCAGAUAUCAGGAGGAACACCGGUGGCGAAGGCGGGUCUCUGGGCCGAUACUGACGCUGAGGAGCGAAAGCGUGGGGAGCGAACAGG
rnacentral:rRNA from 1 species